GGGGGUGUACAGGUUUCGACGGCGCGAGGACGACGGGAAAAAGCAAGUGGCAGGGUCGGCUGCCUUGACAACGCAAACAGCAAUAAAUGCUAACACUCAAAAAGCUGCAACUCCGGUUGCACUCGCUGCGUAAACAAUAACGUAGUCGUCGUUUUUCCGAUUACCGUCGGCGGAAUAAACGAUGUCAUCUCAGACGGUCAACCUCUUUGCGCUCCUGUCGCGGCGCAUUGACGCUCUCAGCGACAUGGCGGCGGUGCGCUCUGUUAGUCGUGCACGCCGAAUCCGCGACAUCAAACGACUGACUAAACUUGUAGAAAGUCCCGCCUAUUCGUGUCGGAAGGGAGUUCGACUCUCCCCACCUCCACCA
rnacentral:tmRNA from 1 species